rnacentral:lncRNA from 1 species
GAGCUGAGGUUCUUCUGUGUCCUCUUUCCUUCCAGCGACUGCUUCUGCCUAACUUCUCUUCAGGGAGGUUUCCACAGAUUACAGAAGUACCUUUUUAGUACCCAGGGCACAUUCCAUCCUGUCUCGAAGUCCCUUUCUUCAGCUUCUUCUAGAACUUCUGGUGAACAAGGGUGCUAAGAGCAAAGCACUUCUAAGAUUCAACCACUCAAACUCUGAAACAAAUGUUGGAGGGCUACUCCAUCCGCAUGGCCGCAACCCAACAUGGCAUUUACCUCAAAAGACCCAGUGACUGCUCCCAAAAGCAGUGUGGACGGAUUGUGGGAAGACACAGCAUGAUGGAGCUCCUGAAGUAAGAAGAUACAAGUUACGAUCUAAGCUGAAAGGCUGGUCAGGAAGGAAAGGGAAGACUGUGGCCAGGAAUCAAAAAACCUAGACAAAGAGUUGCAUGGUGGCAAACAGACUUAUAUGGGCCUGGGCUAUAGACCAGAGAGCUCACAAAAGGUGGUAAAGGACAGACCUUCCCAGUGCCCAGCCUUUUCCUGUGCUUCCCAUUGGCUGAAAUCGAAGGAAAGCCAGAAACUUGGCAUCAUGGGAUGUCAUCUGACAAAGGGAAGAAUGGCUCUGGCAUGAGGAUGGGGAAAAGGAAGCUUCUGUCUUCUUGGAACACCUGAGACAAGAGAAUGAUGAAUGGCAGCCUGGAGAUCAGCCUGGAGCCACACCUUGCCCUUUGAGUAGCCUCUCCCAUGACAAUCAACACUUUUCUAGAGCCUGGAGGCUGCUGUCGCAGGAUCUGGAUCUCCUUGCACCAUCCUCUCUGUCUUCUUCUGAGAAUAUCAUUGAGCCAACCUACCUUCCUCCGGUGGGAAGAUAUACUUCUGCACAGCCCUUCCUGGGAGAUAUUUACCACCUGGAUUCCAUGUGAACUGAUUCCACCAGGAAUUUGUGCAGUGUCUAUAAAGCAGGUUCCAGCUCAUGAAGGACAAAGGCUGGCAGCAAGGACUAAGCUGAGAUUAUCAUGCCCUUGGGACUGACUUGAGUUCAAAAUGCUGUGUGACCUAAGCCAAGAAGUAGCAGAAGUCACAUUAGGAUCCUUUGUCACAU